rnacentral:rRNA from 1 species
UACGAGGGGGGCGAGCGUUGUUCGGAAUUAUUGGGCGUAAAGGGUGCGUAGGCGGCCUGACAAGUCUGAUGUGAAAUCCCUGGGCUCAACCCAGGGCCUGCAUCGGAAACUGUCGGGCUUGAGUAUGGGAGAGGUGAGUGGAACUUCCGGUGUAGCGGUGAAAUGCGUAGAUAUCGGAAGGAACACCUGUGGCGAAAGCGGCUCACUGGACCAUUACUGACGCUGAGGCACGAAAGCUAGGGGAGCAAACAGG